GCCGGGCUUGGUGGCGCGUGCCUGUAGUCCCAGCUACUCGGGAGGCUGAGGUGGGAGGAUCGCUUGAGCCCAGGAGUUCUGGGCUGUAGUGCGCUAUGCCAAUCGAGUGUCUGCACUAAGUUCGGCAUCGAUAUGGUGACCUCGCGGGAGUGGGGGACCAGCAGGUUGCCUGAGGAGGGGUGAACCAGCCCAGGUCGGAACCCGAGCAGGUCAAAAUUCCUGUGCUGAUCAGUAGUGGGAUCGUGCCUGUGAAUGGCCACUGCACUCCAGCCUGGGCAGCACAGCGAGACCCCAUCUCU
rnacentral:SRP_RNA from 1 species